UACGUAGGGUGCAAGCGUUAUCCGGAAUUAUUGGGCGUAAAGAGCUCGUAGGCGGUUUGUCGCGUCUGCUGUGAAAACUGGAGGCUCAACCUCCAGCCUGCAGUGGGUACGGGCAGACUAGAGUGCGGUAGGGGAGAUUGGAAUUCCUGGUGUAGCGGUGGAAUGCGCAGAUAUCAGGAGGAACACCGAUGGCGAAGGCAGAUCUCUGGGCCGCAACUGACGCUGAGGCACGAAAGCGUGGGGAGCAAACAGG
rnacentral:rRNA from 1 species